AUUGAACGCUGGCGGCAGGCUUAACACAUGCAAGUCGAGCGGAGAUGAGGUGCUUGCACCUUAUCUUAGCGGCGGACGGGUGAGUAAUGCUUAGGAAUCUGCCCAUUAGUGGGGGACAACAUUCCGAAAGGAAUGCUAAUACCGCAUACGCCCUACGGGGGAAAGCAGGGGAUCUUCGGACCUUGCGCUAAUAGAUGAGCCUAAGUCGGAUUAGCCAGUUGGUGGGGUAAAGGCCUACCAAGGCGACGAUCUGUAGCGGGUCUGAGAGGAUGAUCCGCCACACUGGGACUGAGACACGGCCCAGACUCCUACGGGAGGCAGCAGUGGGGAAUAUUGGACAAUGGGCGGAAGCCUGAUCCAGCCAUGCCGCGUGUGUGAAGAAGGCCUUUUGGUUGUAAAGCACUUUAAGCGAGGAGGAGGCUACCUGGAUUAAUACUCUAGGAUAGUGGACGUUACUCGCAGAAUAAGCACCGGCUAACUCUGUGCCAGCCGCCGCCGUAAUAC
rnacentral:rRNA from 1 species